GAUGAACGCUAGCGGCAGGCUUAACACAUGCAAGUCGAGGGGUAUAGUUCUUCGGAACUAGAGACCGGCGCACGGGUGCGUAACGCGUAUGCAAUCUACCUUUUACAGAGGGAUAGCCCAGAGAAAUUUGGAUUAAUACCUCAUAGUAUGUGAGAAUCGCAUGGUUUUCACAUUAAAGUUCCAACGGUAAAAGAUGAGCAUGCGUCCCAUUAGCUAGAUGGUAAGGUAACGGCUUACCAUGGCGACGAUGGGUAGGGGUCCUGAGAGGGAGAUCCCCCACACUGGUACUGAGACACGGACCAGACUCCUACGGGAGGCAGCAGUGAGGAAUAUUGGACAAUGGGCGCAAGCCUGAUCCAGCCAUGCCGCGUGCAGGAUGACGGUCCUAUGGAUUGUAAACUGCUUUUAUACAGGAAGAACCCUCCACGUGUGGAGCUUGACGGUACUGUAGGAAUAAGGAUCGGCUAAACUCCGUGCCAGCAGCCG
rnacentral:rRNA from 1 species